rnacentral:lncRNA from 1 species
GAGCUACGGCGGGGUGGGGGGGUGGGCAGGGCCAGGGAGCUGCAGGGCUUUGUCUGGGCUGUUAGUGGAGGACUGACCUCAGGCUUGGGGUCCCCGCCCAGAACAUGGACCCAGGGGACAGACUGACUGCUGACCGUCAUCCCACACUGCAGGAGCGGGGCCGCCUCCAGGUGAGCAUGGAAAAGCGAGGGCAUGUCCCUGGCCUGCAGCGCCAGAUCACGCCCACAAGAGAUGGAACCGCCCACUCACUCAUUUUCCAUCAGGAUGUAGCCAUACUCCUCCUCGGGGGGCUGGACUUGCAGCCGCAGGCCUGGGCCGGGGGGUACCUGUGCGCCGGCCCCGAGGUGCAGGGCCUCCUGCGGGGCCCUGCCCGGCCCGGGCCUCGCCUGCGGCGGCCUCUGCAGCAGCUCCUUGGAGUAGGUCUGGCUCCGCACGUUCUCCACGCCCGCGUGCUCCUCCUCCGAAGACAGGGAGGCCUCGGCGUCAUCCCCCUUCUUGCUCUCCGUCUUGAAGGGCUCUGUGAGAUGGGGGGCUGCAGGCAGGAACGGAGACCCAGGGCCCUGCAGGAGGUCCCCCAGUUGGACACCCAGACGGUUCACCUCCCUCGUCGCUGUCUCGCAGUCUGCUCUCUGGCACGCGGUCUCUGUGCAGCGCGGCCCCUGCACCGUUCACCUCCGCUCCGCGUCUGCCAGCUCUCCCGGCCGCGCCCGGCGCCCCAGCCACACCCCCACUCGGCACCGCGAUCGCAAGGGCGCGGACCACCUCAUCUACGUCCAGGGCACUCAGACCGUCCACGCCGGCCGGGCGCUUCUGCAGGUCCUUCAGCAGCAUCUGAACACGAGCUUCUAAACAGACACGCAAAAGGGAGACACACAGAGGCAAGGGCAGCGUUAGGACAAGGAGGCGAGGCCGGCGGAGGAGCAGGCGGGUGGACGAUGCGCACAGCCAUGGAGUGGGAGCAGGGACCCCCAAGCGGAAGUUCUGUGGGGGCGGAGCAGGGCGUCUGAAGCCUAGAGCUCCCUGGACAGGCCGCCGGCAGACUGAUGGGGAACAAGGGCCAGUGAGUCUGUGGCAGACCGCAGGAAGGACCGGGAUCAGCAGGACAGAGAGAACCCUGGCGCCUGGGCACGGCAGUGGGUAGCAGAGGUGAGACAGGACCUGAGAGGGAGGGGCAGAGGAAGGGAAACCCCACAAACCCCCAGGACCAGCGACCAGCACCAACCCCACACACCCCCAGGACCAGCACCAACCCCACACACCCCCAGGACCAACGACCAGCAUCAAGUCCGAGGCUCAAGGCCCUCAGUCAGCUCCAGGAAGAGGAACAAAGAGCAGCACACGGCCAGGCUCCCCCCAGAAAACCAGGUGGACGAGACGUUACACCGCCCAGGGGCCAGGACAUGUCCCUGCCCUGGAAGCAGGACACACGUGACCGGACGCACACUUACACACGCGUAACUGUGACACAUGUGAC